AUACUGUAUAUAUAAAGGAUAAUAAACCUGUCAUCUGUAGAGAGUUGCUGUAUCGGGUGUGCUGAUCCCUGUGAUUUCCCCAAAUGUGGGAAACUGCAUAAUUUAUGGUAGUGGGGGGCCUGUCUUUGCAUUUUCCCCUG
rnacentral:snRNA from 1 species